GACGAACGCUGGCGGCGUGCUUAACACAUGCAAGUCGAACGGAAAGGCCCUGCUUUUGUGGGGUGCUCGAGUGGCGAACGGGUGAGUAACACGUGAGUAACCUGCCCUUGACUUUGGGAUAACUUCAGGAAACUGGGGCUAAUACCGGAUAGGAGCUCCUGCUGCAUGGUGGGGGUUGGAAAGUUUCGGCGGUUGGGGAUGGAUUCGCGGCUUAUCAGCUUGUUGGUGGGGUAGUGGCUUACCAAGGCUUUGACGGGUAGCCGGCCUGAGAGGGUGACCGGCCACAUUGGGACUGAGAUACGGCCCAGACUCCUACGGGAGGCAGCGGUGGGGAAUAUUGCACAAUGGGCGGAAGCCUGAUGCAGCAACGCCGCGUGCGGGAUGACGGCCUUCGGGUUGUAAACCGCUUUCGCCUGUGACGAAGCGUGAGUGACGGUAAUGGGUAAAGAAGCACCGGCUAACUACGUG
rnacentral:rRNA from 1 species